rnacentral:sRNA from 2 species
GGUUGUUUAUAUUACGAUAAUUAUUAGGCAUUAACGGGAACCGGAGCGUUCCCGAUUCACCAUGGAUGGCCUUUUCGGCAAGGGCUCCUC